AGCAGCCGCGGUAAUUCCAGCUCCAAUAGCGUAUAUUAAAGUUGUUGCAGUUAAAAGCUCGUAGUUGAAUUUCGGGAUCAAUAUGUUGGUCGUGCCUCGGUACGUACUAGCUUAUUGGUUUCUCCUUUCUGAAGAACCAUGAUGUCAUUUAUUUGGUGUCGUGGGGAAUCAGGACUGUUACUUUGAAAAAUUAGAGUGUUUAAAGCAGGCUCACGCUUGAAUACAUUAGCAUGGAAUAAUGAAAUAGGACGUUUGAUUCUAUUUUGUUGGUUUCUAGGAUCGACGUAAUGAUUAAUAGGGAUAGUUGGGGGCAUUAGUAUUCAAUUGUCAGAGGUGAAAUUCUUGGAUUUAUUGAAGACUAACUACUGCGAAAGCAUUUGCCAAGGAUGUUUUCAUUAAUCAAGAACGAAAGUUAGGGAUCGAAGACGAUCAGAUACCGUCGUAGUCUUAACCAUAAACUAUGCCGACUAGGGAUCGGAUGAUGUUUAAUUUUUAAUGUACUCUAGUUCGGUCGUCCUUA
rnacentral:misc_RNA from 1 species